UACGAGGGGUGCAAGCGUUGCUCGGAAUUAUUGGGCGUAAAGGGUAGGUAGGUGGUCUCAUUUGUCUGGGGUGAAAGCCUUGAGCUUAACUCAAGAAGUGCCCCGGAAACGGUGAGACUCGAGUCUUGGAGAGGGUCGUGGAAUUCCCGGUGUAGCGGUGAAAUGCGUAGAGAUCGGGAGGAACACCAGUGGCGAAGGCGACUACCUGGACCAGCACUGACACUGAGGCACGAAAGCGUGGGGAGCAAACAGG
rnacentral:rRNA from 1 species